GUAGCCCAGCCUAUGGAAUGAUGUGGCUUACAUUCAAGAAAGCCAUAAAACAUUUAGUGUUUGCUCUGGAUACUCACUGGUUUUCAAGCACACACAGCAUGCUUUUGAGUGAUAUCAUGGAAUGUCUUCGCAUCAGACAAGU